rnacentral:rRNA from 1 species
ACGUACACUCCUGCGGGAGGCAGCAGUGGGGAAUAUUGCACAAUGGGCGCAAGCCUGAUGCAGCGACGCCGCGUGGGGGAUGAAGGCCUUCGGGUUGUAAACUCCUUUCGCUAGGGACGAAGCUUUUUUGUGACGGUACCUAGAUAAGAAGCACCGGCUAACUACGUGCCAGCAGCCGCGGUAAUACGUAGGGUGCGAGCGUUGUCCGGAAUUACUGGGCGUAAAGGGCUCGUAGGUGGUUUGUCGCGUCGUCUGUGAAAUUCUGGGGCUUAACUCCGGGCGUGCAGGCGAUACGGGCAUAACUUGAGUGCUGUAGGGGUAACUGGAAUUCCUGGUGUAGCGGUGAAAUGCGCAGAUAUCAGGAGGAACACCGAUGGCGAAGGCAGGUUACUGGGCAGUUACUGACGCUGAGGAGCGAAAGCAUGGGUAGCGAACAGGAUUAGAUACCCCGGUAGUCCCAU